rnacentral:rRNA from 1 species
CCUACGGGAGUCAGCAGUGGGGAAUAUUGCACAAUGGGCGAAACCCUGAUGCAGCGACGCCGCGUGAGUGAUGACGUACUUCGGUAUGUAAAGCUCUAUCAACACGGAAGAAAAUGACGGUACCUGAGUAAGAAGCCCCGGCUAACUACGUGCCAGCAGCCGCGGUAAUACGUAAGGGGCCAGCGUUAUCCAGAUUUACUGGGUGUAAAGGGAGCGUAGACGGCAGUGCAAGUCUGGAGUGAAAGGCGUGGGCUCAACCCCCGGACUGCUCUGGAAACUGUACGGCUGGAGUGCAGGAGAGGUAAGUGGAAGUCCUAGUGGAGCGGUGAAAGGCGUAGAUAUUAGGAAGAACACCAGUGGCGAAGGCGGCUUACUGGACUGUAACUGACGUUGAGGCUCGAAAGCGUGGGGAGCAAACAGGAUUAGAUACCCGAGUAGUC